rnacentral:rRNA from 1 species
AGUGAACGCUGGCGGUAGGCCUAACACAUGCAAGUCGAACGGCAGCACAGUAAGAGCCUGCUCUUACGGGUGGCGAGUGGCGGACGGGUGAGGAAUACAUCGGAAUCUACUUUUUCGUGGGGGAUAACGUAGGGAAACUUACGCUAAUACCGCAUACGACCUACGGGUGAAAGCAGGGGAUCUUCGGACCUUGCGCGAUUGAAUGAGCCGAUGUCGGAUUAGCUAGUUGGCGGGGUAAAGGCCCACCAAGGCGACGAUCCGUAGCUGGUCUGAGAGGAUGAUCAGCCACACUGGAACUGAGACACGGCCCAGACUCCUACGGGAGGCAGCAGUGGGGAAUAUUGGACAAUGGGCGCAAGCCUGAUCCAGCCAUACCGCGUGGGUGAAGAAGGCCUUCGGGUUGUAAAGCCCUUUUGUUGGGAAAGAAAAGCAGCAGGUUAAUACCCCGCUGUUCUGACGGUACCCAAAGAAUAAGCACCGGCUAACUUCGUG